rnacentral:rRNA from 1 species
CCUACGGGGGGCAGCAGUCGAGAAUCUUCGGCAAUGGACGAAAGUCUGACCGAGCGACGCCGCGUGCGGGAUGAAGGCCCUCGGGUUGUAAACCGCUGUCGUAGGGGAUCAAAUGUAUGAGGGUUCUCCCUCAUAUUCGAGAGAUCCUAGGAGGAAGGAGAGGCUAAGCUCGUGCCAGCAGCCGCGGUAAGACGAGCUCUCCAAACGUUAUUCGGUAUUACUGGGCUUAAAGAGUUCGUAGGCGGUCUUGUAGGUGAGGUGUGAAAGCCCUCGGC